AACUGCUGAUCCUAUGUUUCCUCAUGUUGCAAUAUUUAGCCUUUGGACCAGCUCUCUUGUUCUGCAGCACAGGUUCAUUCCCUUUGUGCUGCAGCUCUUGGUCACCCCAUCCAGCAUGGACAAAAAGGCUGCACAGCAUUCAGAAGUACUGAUCUAGUUGACUACAUGGAUUUGUAACGAGCAGCUCAGCAGCUCCUUCAUGAACCAUCCUUCCAGGAGGGAAACAUCACAAAGAUGGAUUCCUUUAGCAAGGAAGAUAUGACAGGUUGUGAUAUUGGACUGCAGUGAAGUUCCACCAGUGCUUUUCUACCCUCCAUGAGUGAGCACUGCUGGGCUGUGCAGCUGGCAAGCUCAUGCCCUUUUUUUGGACUUGUGCCUGGCCUCCUGCUUGCCCACAUUGAAAUCUCAUUUACUGUGUUGGCUGUGUGGUGGAAACUGGACUGUCAAGAAGAUGUAAGUGGCCUGUUGGAUAAGAUUUAA
rnacentral:lncRNA from 1 species